CCUACGGGUGGCAGCAGUGGGGAAUAUUGCACAAUGGGGGAAACCCUGAUGCAGCGACGCCGCGUGAGUGAAGAAGUAAUUCGUUACGUAACGCACUAUCAGCAGGGAAGAAAGUGACGGUACCUGAAUCAGAAGCCCCGGCUAACUACGUGCCAGCAGCCGCGGUAAUACGUAGGGGGCAAGCGUUAGCCGGAUUUAAUGGGGGUAAAGGGCGCGUAGACGGUGCGGCAAGUCUGGCGUGAAAUGCCGAGGCUUAACUGCGGAACUGCUUUGGAAACUGGCGAACUAGAGUGCUGGAGGGGUGAGUGGAAUUCCUAGUGUAGCGGUGAAAUGCGUAGAGAUUAGGAGGAACACCGGUGGCGAAGGCGGCUUACUGGACCGUAACUGACGUUGAGGCUCGAAAGCGUGGGGAGCAAACAGGAUUAGAUACCCGGGUAGUC
rnacentral:rRNA from 1 species